GAUGAACGCUGGCGGCGUGCCUAAUACAUGCAAGUCGAGCGAACAGACGAGGAGCUUGCUCCUCUGACGUUAGCGGCGGACGGGUGAGUAACACGUGGAUAACCUACCUAUAAGACUGGGAUAACUUCGGGAAACCGGAGCUAAUACCGGAUAAUAUAUUGAACCGCAUGGUUCAAUAGUGAAAGACGGUUUUGCUGUCACUUAUAGAUGGAUCCGCGCCGCAUUAGCUAGUUGGUAAGGUAACGGCUUACCAAGGCGACGAUGCGUAGCCGACCUGAGAGGGUGAUCGGCCACACUGGAACUGAGACACGGUCCAGACUCCUACGGGAGGCAGCAGUAGGGAAUCUUCCGCAAUGGGCGAAAGCCUGACGGAGCAACGCUGCGUGAGUGAUGAAGGUCUUCGGAUCGUAAAACUCUGUUAUUAGGGAAGAACAAAUGUGUAAGUAACUAUGCACGUCUUGACGGUACCUAAUCAGAAAGCCACGGCUAACUACG
rnacentral:rRNA from 1 species